rnacentral:rRNA from 1 species
AUUAUUCGUUAUACCUUUAUUUGAUAUUACUUUUCUACUCGGAAUAACCGUAGUAAUUCUAGAGCUAAUACAUGCAUUAAGGCCUGACUUUUGUGGAGGGGCGUGUAUUUAUUAAUACACAAACCAAUGCGGUGCUUGCACCGGUGUUGUGGUGAGUCAUANUAACUAAGCGAAUCGUAUGGCCUUUGCGCUGACUANGAAUCAUUCANNUNCCUGCCCUAUCANCUGUCGAUGGUAGGGUAUUGGCCNACCAUGGCGUUAACGGGUGACAGAGAAUUANGGUUCCAUUCCGGAGAGGGAGCCUGAGGAGACGGCUACCACAUCCAAGGAAGGC